UUGAAUAUAAACCGCUGUAUGAAGUUUAAUUAGACCGAGGCUGCCGAAAUCAUGUUCAGUGUGUGGGAUUAAUAAUUUCCGCCUUUUCCCCUCAAGUGACAGGCCUGUAAAUUGUGUCAUCUGCUCGUUAAUGGUGUUUUUUACAUGCAUGCUUUUUAUGCUAGUUUAAUCCUCAAAUAGAUCUGAUACUUUAGUUUCAACAAAUCUUUAAUAAACAAAUGGUUCACUUUUUUUAGGUCCUGACUGCCACCAGUUGAGUCAAUGAUUCAGUGGAGAGACAAUCUGGGCAGCAACAACAAGACAACUAUUAUGAGUAGAGAUGGGUUUCAAGAUCCAGGUGCAAGGUGCAAUAAGAUGCAAGGAUCCAGGAUCAAGAGAUCAUUCAUCAUGAAGACUGUUCAAUAGGAAGCAGUGAAUCCUUGUUGGUUAUAUGUUUCAGAUCAUCCUGACCAUUCUGUUGUCCUGGAUUUGAAGACAUGCUGGAACUGCAUUUCUCAUGGCUGAAAGAUUUGUGCAGCGGUAUCCAGACAUAUAAGCACCCUUCCUGGACCCACACGACUAAAGGCUCUGGAGGAGAGACAGAUUCAAGGGAAAGAUGAAAAAUAAGGAAGUCUGGGAAUGACUGAAGAAGACCGCAGCAAGGGAAGGAAGUAAUCAUCACAAUCUGCCAGAGAAGGAUAUUGACAGUGCAGGCUCAGGACGGCGAAGAGAAGGAAGAACACCUUUAACAUAAUUUUCUCAUACCUUUGUCAUGUGUUAUAAUAAAAACAAUAAACCUGACUACAAUAAUAUGGUAAAUUUUAUUAAAAGAUUCCAGUUUGCAAGGAAUCUGGAGUCUCUGACUCUGCACUAAAGGAGCUCUUUGCUGAGGAAGACCAAGUGCUGAGGAGGAGCCUUGUUUUACAGCAAAACACUGCAUCAACCCUCCAUGACAAGAUGAAGAGUGAAGAGUCUCCCUCCUGUCCUUCCCUCAGAAGAGCCUGUCUUCUGCUGCUGGGGUAAGAACGACACUCUUCCUCUUCUCUCACAGCCGUCCAGCACCUAACUCUGCCUCCUCAGCACUGUCUGAAAGAGUCUUCUCCACAGUCAGUAAUCAGAGAUCACAGAUUCUCCUGAGAAAGUCAACAUGCUCAUUUUCCUAAACAAAAACUGUUUGUUUUUGGGGUGGGCCAAAUUAUACAGGAGUGAUGCUAGAAAUCUUUAUAUUGUUCAUUUUACAUAUCUUUACUCUUUAUGAAUGUUAUUUUCUUUAUUUAUUUUAUCUUCUGAGAAGCCCAAGAACUAUGGUUCUUUGGUAAUUGUAACAUUGUUUAGGUUUAUCUUCUGAUAGUGAAGCUGUAUUAAAGCACAUCAGCACCAGAUAUUAAUGAAGUAUCUACUGAAUUGUUUCAUAUCUUUUUAUCAUGUCUUUAUUUUUUUGCACCAAAUUAAGGGAGUUGUAUCAAUAAGAGUACUGAUAAUUAUUGAUAAUUUUCACUGAUAACAGCAUUAUUUAACUAUGCCCACCCUUAAUGAGACACAAACUUUUUCAGUUGAUUAUAUGGCAUAGCAAUCUAUGAAUUGAUGUGGUCAGUUUUCUGUGCUCAUGACUUGGUAACACUUUGCAUGGUUAAAGAACAGGUGUAAUGUUCAGAAUGUUUUGGUUUAGUAUUUGUGGAAAGUAGCACUGAAUAAA